CAUACAAGUGGCAUGUCUUGUUGU
rnacentral:snRNA from 1 species